UUCCUGGAUCAAAAUCUGCGCAGGUAGAAGAGCAGCAGGAGAAACAGCCCCAGAUACCUGCGCGCCCGGGCGCGCAGCCUCGCGAGAUCCGCCGGGUUGCCGGGGCGACGCUUCCGCCUGGCGCGCGCAGACCUGGGAGCAGAGGAGUUGUGAAAUAGGCGGCUAGACCGGCCCGCUGUCGUGAAUUCGCCAGCGGGAGCGCGCUCGCGGCCGCGCGUUCUCCGCUUUCCCAGCUCCGUAGCUGACGCGUCGUAGACGUUGGGGAGCAGGCGGCAGCGGCAGCGGGGUCGGGAUGAACAGCGGCGGCGGCUUCGGUUUGGGAUUAGGCUUCGGCCUCACCCCUACGGCGGUGAUUCAGGUGACGAAUCUGUCGUCGGCGGUGACCAGCGAGCAGAUGCGGACGCUUUUUUCCUUCCUAGGAGAAAUCGAGGAGCUGCGUCUCUACCCCCCGGACAACGCACCUCUUGCUUUUUCUUCCAAAGUAUGUUAUGUUAAGUUUCGUGACCCAUCAAGUGUUGGCGUGGCCCAGCAUCUAACUAACACGGUUUUUAUUGACAGAGCUCUGAUAGUUGUUCCUUGUGCAGAAGGUUGGUAUCUCACGUGUUUUUUCCUAAUUAUUUUAAUCUCUGUCCUAUCUGUUACUACUAUUGGCUUUUCUAGAAAUUGGCAGGUAGUAUUCUGAAGGGGUGUGUGUGUAUGUAAGUAAGAAAGAAUGAAAUUUGGGGAAGGAAAGGAUUUUACCUAAUAUAUUUAAAUGGUUAAUUUAUUACAUCUACUUGAGAUUUUAUAGCUGAACAUUUAAAAAUUCAUAAAUUGACUUCUCUGGUUUGCUUUGGCUUCUAUAUUCCAUUUGCAAGUUGUAAACAAAGCUUUUUGAAAUUAAAAUAUUAAGUUUGUAGGAGAAGUUAUUUAAAAUGGUAAGUAAGUAAGCAUCUGCCCCUAUAUUGAUGAUAGCACAUACAUAAAAGCAGUGUACAUGUUUUGCCAAAUUGGGGUUAGGUAGUAAUAUUUAUGUUUAAGAAAAAUAUUCAUAAUUUAGACUUUAAAGUGUCCUCUUAAGAUAAUUUACCUUAAUUGUUACUGAGACUGACCAUUAUUUCAUACUCAGUAUAAUAGUUUGCUGUGCAACUGGAAUUUACUUUUUAACUUUAGUGGUUUUUUUUGUGGGGAGUGAGGGGUUGCUGGUGGUGGCCGUAAUUAAAGAAAAGUCAUGGAAAGUAUAUUUUCCAAAGCUUCCAUCAAGGAAAAUAGUUAUUGAAGGUGGGAGUAAGGCCAAAGACUUUAUAGUGAUUUGUUAAAUUUUAUGACUUAACCUUCAAGAGCUAAUUAUUAUUAAUGCUUAUUUUUUAGUAACUUCUAUUUACAGAGCCACUCACAUAUAAUAGGCUGUGCUGAAUUUGACUGUUCUGGUGUGUAAUUAACUUUUAUUCAGAGCACUGACUAUGGCAUGUGUACAUGGAUUUUAGAAUUGCGUUAUUAUAAUAUAAAUGUCUUUAAAGUAUAUUUUCACUGGUGGCUGGUGGUAACUGUUUUACAAUAUAAAAGAUUUACUGGAAACAAUUUAACGAGCUUUCCUAUGUAAUAUUUUAAAACCUUUUUUAGAUGAUAUUGGACUGAUGUUAAAAAAACUUAAUGUAUAAUAAACAGUUUGUUGCACUUCCAAGGUUUUAUUGAUAUUUCAGAAUGCCUAUUCUGGGAUGUCAAAAAUAUUACAGUCAGGUACAGUGAGUACCACUCUGUUAUUUUUGAAGUCUUGGAAUAGGACAUUCUGGAUUUUUUCAGAUAAAUUUGAAAGUAUUUUUCCCAUGCCUGAGGGAUUAGAGUCUGGGGUAAGGAGAAUAAAAAUGGAUUUAAGUGAAUUAUUUGCUAAAUCUGUCCUUAUCUAUUAAUCAGUAAGGGGACAAUGACCCCAGAAUUGGAGAACAAGGUGAGGAAAGAGCUGGUAAUGGUUUUGUUCUGCAUACCAAGAUCAUGACCAAUUUCAUACCAAGUAACCUGCAUGGGAAAAAAAAAAUCAGGUAGCAGAUAUAUUAAAUAUGAAUAUUAAUUGUAUCUAGAGUUACACCACCAGUAGCACAGAAUCUGUGAUAUCAGCCUACUCCUGAACUGGAAGGAAGAAAUUUACUAUUGUUGCUCUGUUUGAACCUUCCUACAUUCCCAUAGAAUUUUUCAUAUAUUUGAGAAGUGACUGUGGUUUGUCAUAGAUGUUCAAGAUUAUGGGCAUGUAGAGGUUCCUUUUUUUGUUUUACUUGGUAGAAAUGAAUAAAUGCACUUUUAUUAUAAUGACAUGAAUAUUUUUAAUAUUACCAUUUUGAGACAAAAUUUUGCUAUGCUUGAACAUGAGUCAAGAGUAUUUUUAUUCCAAUUUAAAAUUGUAAGUUUUAAGUAUUUUAGAAUACUAACCUAUGAAAUAAUUGGUAUUAGAAAAACAUUCAGAUAAAUGUUUUCAUUAAACAACAGUGAUGAAUUUAUAGAACCUGAAGAAUGUCGCAAUGAGCUGUUAAAGAUCUGAUUAUGCACUGCAAGCAAAGUAAUAAUGCAUUAUUGUACCUUUUAGAAGGAUAGCAAAGUAAGUUUGAAAUACAUCAAAGGAAAGAGUUCCAGUGGAGUAAAUUCUAUAAGGAGAUGUACUGUUAGGCUGUAAGCAGUCUUUCAUUUACUUCACUGAUUGUAUUCUUUCCUUGAUGUUACAGAAGCAGCGUUAUGAAAGAAGUGAGAAAACAGUAGAAAAAAUUUUAAGUUUUUUGAUUCUUUUAAUUUGCUGUUUUUUUUAAAUGCAGACAGUAGUAUUGUGAGAAGAUCCUAUGCUGUUUAAGUAUUGUUUGAUGUAUAAUAAUUUCCUACAUAUUAAGCAUUAGCUAUUGUUAAUAAAACAUGCCACUUCAAAAUAAAAUAUACUUUCAUUAUACUCGUCCAGAUAUGACCUCUUUUUGUUGUUGCGUGCAUCUCAGAUUUCUUUUUAUAAAUGUUAACACUUAGAAAAAUUUAAGAUCAAACAUAACAAGGGUGUCAGCCUAAUCAUCAGUCAUAAGUUUAUGUCCACAUUUUCUGGUAGAUGGAUUUUGACUAUUAAUUUGGUUUUGUAUGUUUUCUCUAUGUGAUAUUUGUGCAUUAUUAGAUGACUAGACUGGCCAAGGCAGACCUGUUACACUUGCCUGAGUUAGGCAUUGUUUGCCAUGCCACUAAACCUGCCGUCAAGUGAAACCUUCAUUGGGGAAAUGAGAUCGGAGUCUGAACCGCAGAAGAUGGACGCCCUGUCUCUGUUUUUUAUUGUUUUACUUUAAUUUCAUUUCUUUUUCUUUAUUUUGUCCCUUUUUUUGUUUUUGUUUUGUUUUGUUAAAUCUCUUUCACUUUAACUUGUGAGCUGGUUUUCCAGUUCUUUGUAAAUGGUAUUCCAUUAAGGGUUCAUAACAUUGCAUUGCAAAUUGUAUUGGGAGAUGAUUAGUAGAGAUCAACUUUAACAUAAAAUAAAUUUUCACAGUAAAUUAAGAUACAGUGUUGUGAAGCUCAGUGCUAGUCUUAAUUGGUGUUUAUAGACUGAUCAGGUACAUCUUGUUCUUGAAACACUAAAACACUGAUGAGGUUCUUAGAAACAUACUUUGAUCUCAGUGUAACAUUUUUGCAGUUUUUUCCCCAAGUCUGCAUCUUUCAUAAAGACCAACCAAUAGCUUCUAGUUUUCAUCCUCCCCCCCUUAGAAUUUUAGGUAUACAGAAUCAUCAAGGAAAAUAAAUAAAUUUCAUUAACAGUCUGGGGGUAGAGGACAAGAAGAGACUUUUCUAUUUAUGGUUAUUAAAGAAAAUAACUUAUAUUCUUCAUUUAAAGACACUUAGUUGCCUACGUGGGGAAAGGAUAUUUGAGAAACUGUUGAAUACUUACUUGCGUGUGUAUUUUGUAUUUCUUUGCUUGAAUUUUUUGUUGAGAAAUGUUCACACAUUACUAGUUUCUAAAUGGAUUCUGAAAUUAGGAUGAAUGAGAGGUUUUAUCUCUCAGUUGUCUUUGAGGAGUAUAGUUUGGGAAAAAUGAUAAGUGCUUAUUUGUUUAUAGUUUUAUGUGCUCUGAUAGUAUUUAGAGGGUAAAUUUGGAAGAAUUCUAUCUUGGAAAUUAAGCAGUGGAACUUUUUUCUUAAGGUAUCUUUAAUUAGAAUAAGAAAAAUAUUGUUCUUAGACUUAAUACUUACAAAGAGUUUAUUAGAUUCUGAGAGGUAGUGAGAUUAAGAGAACCUACUGAUACAUUUUUUUUUUUUAAGCCAGAAGUGAAAGACUUUGUAAUAUUAAGUAAUCAACUUUUGGCCUCUGUUGAUUACCCUUUUUGUUUGUGUAGUCUUUCUACACUGUCUUGUAUGGAUAGUUUUGUUUAUUUAAUUGACAAGUAAUAUUAAACUGAGGACAUUACUAGAUUGGAACUCUUUGUUUUUUAGGUGUAUAAAUUAGGAUAGUGAAGCAUAGGGUUUGCACCUUAGGACCUUAGUUGAUAUAUGAAGAUGUUUUCAGGUUUUACAAACAUUUAAAAAAAAAAAACCUAUUUCUAACAGAUAAAAAACAGGUCCGAUAGCAGUGUAAAUAGUAUAGUAUAUAUGAGUGUGCAGAUACAUGUGUUAAUGCUAAUAACUAAUUAAAUACAAAAUAAAUAUUGUUAUUUGAUGUCUUCAGUAAGGCCUGCUUACCUCUUAUUUACCUUUAUGCAUGUUAAAAAUUUUGCUUAUGCAGAAUUUACUGAGGUAAUAAAAUAACUGUUUUUGAAAUUAAAGUAAUAUAGAUUUAGAUGUUUAGAAAUAAGUAGGCAUUUGCUAAAGUUAAUAAAUGUAAUUUUUCUAUUCCUAUAAAUAACGUGUAACUAUUACUUAAAACAAUUGAAAAUUUUGUCUUGAAUUCCAUCCAUGUUUAGCAAUACAUUCAGAUCAUUUUUUUAGAGAUUUAUUCUUGCACAUCUGAUUGUUUUAAAUAGAAUUUUUAUCACUGAAACCCAGCAUGGUGCUUUUUGAAAAUUUACUCCAUAUGCUGUUUUCAAUUUAGUGUGACUUUGUACACUGUUUUCAGUUAAUUUUGAAGAAUUUAUAAUGGAAAUUUGUAGCCAACUAUCACAUAGCUAUGUUCUUCUAAAAUAGCUAUCUGUAGUCACCUUUUUAGAAAUUUUUUUUGGGGGGAUGGGGUUGUGAGAAAGGACCAGAGAAAAAUGUAUGAAAGUUGCAGUCUUUAUCAGAAUUAAUUGAUUAUAAUUCAGUAAUUAUGCAAAUUGAUGGACUUAAUUUCAGAGUAAAUUUUCAUUUAUUAGUUGUAGGGAUUUCUUAGUAUUUAGGAUUAUUUUAAUAUUACUGAUGUUCCUAUUACUAGGUAGGUAAGAUGCUUAUAAUCAAGGUAUUUAGGAAUAAACCACCCCAUUCAGUUAAGUAUACAUAAAUUGGUUCUAAAAGUCAAUUAGUUUCCUGAGACUAGGAAACAUUUUUUUCAAAAAUGUCAUCAGUUACCCAAUGCAUAUUCUUUGGAACUGGAUUCUUUUAUAAAGGCAUCUUGACAUUGCAGGUGAGAUGCUUUAUUAGCUGAAUGAGGGUAGGCUUCCUUUUCAUUUGGGGCUGAUUACUUGCUAUAGGCUUUUUUUUUCCUAUUUGAAAUUGAAUGGAAUCUAUUUAGAAGGUUACAAAAUUAUUUGCAUCACAAGUAGAUAGUUUCAAUGAACAGGAUAGGGACAUGCAGGAACAAAUUUCAAUUCGCACAUAUUUGUUUUUUUCUUUUUCUUUUUUUUGACUAAUUUGGUUAUUUGCCAUUUCUGGGGAUUAAACUUUAAAAAAUGUUCUUCUUUUCUGUAUCUGAUGUUCUGUGUGCUAUUAGUGAUGCAGCCAACACGAACGGUUGUCAUGUGUAACACAACUUUCGAUCACCGCGAAAACACCGUCCUGGGAAAGCGUCCAUGCUUGAUAUCGUUUGGUUCAUGAACAUUAAGUUUCCAGUACAGGUGACCCAUAGCUCAAAGUGUUAAAUAAUUGUCUACAUUAUUCAGUUUUUAAAAUAAUAUUCCAUUAAUGAGAUUGUUAGUCUUUGAAGUUUUGCUCACUUUUAUUUUUCCUAGUAGAGCAGGGUAAAAGGAAAGACUUAAGUUCUUAUUUAUUUCUUUAUACGGAUCUGAUAGAUAGAUUCAUUUAUUAUUAUAAUUUUUUAAGUGCAAGGGUAAUUGUAAAAUCAUAGUGUAAAGUUUGGUGUUUCUGCUUUCUGUAAUGUUUGGAACUUGCCUCUGCAGGUAAAAUCCCAGAGGAAGCCAAAGCCCUCUCUCUAUUGGCUCCUGCUCCAACCAUGACAGGUCUGAUGCCUGGUGCAGGCUUGCUUCCCAUCCCGACCCCAAAUCCCCUGACUACACUGGGUGUUUCCCUUAGCAGUUUGGGAGCUAUACCAGCAGCAGCACUAGACCCCAACAUUGCAACACUUGGAGAGAUACCACAGCCACCACUUAUGGGAAAUGUGGAUCCUUCCAAAAUUGAUGAAAUUAGGAGAACUGUCUAUGUUGGCAAUUUGAAUUCCCAGACAACCACAGCUGAUCAACUACUUGAAUUUUUUAAACAAGUUGGAGAAGUGAAGUUUGUGCGGAUGGCAGGUGAUGAGACUCAGCCGACUCGGUUUGCUUUUGUGGAAUUUGCAGACCAAAAUUCUGUACCAAGGGCCCUUGCUUUUAAUGGAGUUAUGUUUGGAGACAGGCCACUGAAAAUAAAUCACUCCAACAAUGCAAUAGUAAAACCCCCUGAGAUGACACCUCAGGCUGCAGCUAAGGAGUUAGAAGAAGUAAUGAAGCGAGUACGAGAGGCUCAGUCCUUUAUCUCAGCAGCUAUCGAACCAGGGUGGCUGCACUCAACGAGUUUAUGCAAUGACUUUCUUGGAUGUUUCUGAAGGAUAAUUGCACAGGAGGAGGAUGUACAGAGAGUAGGCCCCUUGCACUAUAUGUGGUACAUUCCACUUGUGCCUGAUUAUUAACUGGGAUCUUUAAUUGUUCUGAGCUUACACUGCAAAGUGGUUUUUUCCUCCCAGAGUCUGGAAAGAGCAAUGAAAGAAAAGGCGGUCGAUCUCGUUCCCACACUCGUUCAAAAUCCAGGUCUAGCUCAAAAUCCCGUUCUAGAAGGAAAAGAUCACAGUCAAAACACAGGAGUAGAUCUCAUAAUAGAUCACGUUCAAGACAAAAAGAUAGACGUAGAUCUAAGAGCCCCCAUAAAAAACGUUCUAAAUCAAGAGAAAGAAGGAAGUCAAGGAGUCGUUCGCGUUCACGGGACAAAAGAAAAGACACCCGAGAAAAAAUCAAGGAAAAGGAAAGAGUGAAAGAAAAAGAUAGAGAAAAGGAAAGGGAAAAAGAGAGAGACAGGGAAAAGGAACGUGAAAAAGAAAAGGAACGGGGUAAAAACAAAGAUAAAGACCGGGAUAAAGAACGGGAAAAGGACCGAGAUAAAGACAAGGAGAAGGACAGAGACAGAGAGCGGGAAAAAGAACAUGAAAAGGAACGAGACAAAGAGAAGGAGAAAGAACAGGACAAAGAAAAGGAACGAGAAAAGGACAGAUCUAAAGAGAUAGAUGAGAAGAGAAAGAAGGAUAAAAAGUCCAGAACACCACCCAGAAGUUACAAUGCAUCAAGAAGAUCUCGUAGUUCCAGCAGGGAAAGGCGUAGAAGGAGGAGCAGGAGUUCUUCCAGAUCGCCAAGAACAUCAAAAACAAUAAAAAGGAAAUCUUCUAGGUCUCCAUCCCCUAGGAGCAGAAAUAAGAAGGAUAAAAAGAGAGAAAAAGAAAGGGACCAUAUCAGUGAAAGGAGAGAGAGAGAACGUUCAACCUCUACAAGAAAGAGUUCUAAUGACAGAGAUGGGAAAGAAAAGGCGGAGAAGAACAGUACUUCACUGAAAGAAAAGGAGCACAACAAAGAACCAGAUUCAAAUGUGGGCAAAGAAGUAGAUGACAAAGAUCCUCCACCAAGGACUGAGGAAAACAAAGUGCAGCAAAAUGGGAAUUGUCAGCCAAAUGAAGAAAACCUCUCUACCAAAACAGAAGCUGUAUAGGACCCACAAGUGCACCUCUAAACACAUGCUGGAAUAAAAUCCAAAGCUUUUAAUGCUCUCAACAAGAUGUUAAAACAGUGAGGAAAUCCAGUAGAGCAUAAAGAUAUGAGCUAACAGCUUUCCUAGUUGUUAGGGGACUUUGUGGCCAUCUUGUUACUGAGUAAGAAAACAAAGCAUGGACAUCAUGAAAAUAACAGGUGUUACCCAAACUCCUCAUCUUCUAAAAUCUGUGCAUUUCCAUGGUGGCUGACACACUUGUCAUGUGGUUUGUUAGUGUUUGCCAAGAACCAUUAUAAAUAAACAGGACGUUGAAGACCUAAAUUUGUAUGAUCCAUAAAGACUGGAGAUAAACAUUGGAGGCUCUUUUAAAAAAUGCUAGUAACUGAAUUUUUGUAUUGUUUUACUUUUUUUUAAAAAACUAUUUCAAUAUAUGCAGAUUGAUGAUGUGCUUGAAUCGGUGCAAAUAUAUACACACCCUUGUAAGUGCAGAGUAUGUAAGAAGUUUUAACAUUUACUUCACAGGAUAUACAGUGAUUGUGUUAAAUUCUCACUAUUGUGUUUUCUUUUGCUCACUGUUUAGGACAGCAGUUUUUCUUUAAAAUAGUUUUACAGAUUAAAAUUGCUUAAAUACGUGGAUUAAAAACCAACUGACAAUGCAUGCUACUAUUCUCUUUCAAAAGAAAGAACAACCGUGUUGAAUACUAAUAAUGUAUUAGUAUUCAGUGUUUAGAAUCAUUGGGUCUCCCCACAAAGUAAGCGUUUCUUUUUGAACUUUCUUGACAUUUCCGAGCUUAUUAUGAACAAUAUUGCAGUGUGUGUUGUCAGCUGAAGGUGGCAAAGGUGCCAUUUAUAAAAAGAAAACUGGGUUUUCAAAAUGGGCUAUGGGAGCACAAGCUGAAGCUUUAGUGCCUUCUACAAUGUGGUAUACUGUUUUCUAGAAUUUUAUAUGUGCUAGUCAUUUUCGAUUCAUACGGAGCUUAGAUGGAUGUUCCAUUCACUCCCAUAGAAAAGUGUGUAAGUGGUAUGUCAGAGCGGCUUCUACUUAGUUCACCUAAGUAAGGGAGAGGGAAGUUCUGUUUUUAAGAAUGACUUUAGAGCUUGAAACAACAGUACAGUUUUGGGACCAUCAGUUUUAUACUGUGAUAAUAGAAAAUGAAGCAGCAUGUUCUUAUUUCACUUAAAGCAAACCCUUUAGUUGUCUUCAUUGGAUGGCCUUAAUUAUUACCUCUCAAUCAUCUUAUAAAUGAUGUGCAGAAAUUGUACUUAAAGAAUACAUGAGGUUAUUUGUUUUAUGUGUAAGAAUAUAUUUACUUGAGUUUAAAAUAUAGGUCAUCCGACAGUGUUAGGUGCACUUUUGGCAGGAAGUAUGCAAGUAGUAAAAUGACAACAUUGAUAAUAUUUUCCCCUAAGCCACAAUUCCUAGUUUCAGGACUUUGGUUGUUAUGUUUCCCCAAAAGUUAUACCUUUAAUUAGCAUGAUGUUAAAAAAUCAAGUAUAAUUAUUUUAAUGCAAUCUGAUACAAUCAAAUUACUCAGUUGCCUUACCUCAUGGAAAGAGUUACUUCUAGAUUUAAAAGCUGAGUAUCACAUCAGUUACUUGGUUUCAACUUGAGUUUUCUUUUAAUGUUAAUACUAUUGAAACUUAGGUAUUUGGUGGAGAAUGGAAAGAAUUGCCCUUAUUGCAAGUAAUGAAGCCUGGUUUGAUUAUGAAGCUGCUUAAUUUACUCUUCAUGUGUUCAUAAUUACUGUGUUUUUUUUCUUUUUGUCACUGUAUACAUUAAAAUUUUUGAAAGUGCUUUACUAUGUAAAGUAUAGAUGGUCAUUUUAAUCAUCCAACCACAUACGGUUGACUGCUAAACUGCUUAUUCUGAUUCAAGAAUGCUUGGGUGCAUAUGGAAAGAUUGGGAAGGAGUGUGUGUCUUACAUCAACAGCUGUCUUAUUUAUGAUAAGUAAGUAGAAUAGAGCAAAUAUUGUUUGAAUCUUUGUCAUUUUUAGUACCAUUUCUGUAAUAAAGCUAAGUAUUUUAGAGGAAAGUAUUUGUUUAUGCAUUUCAAAACAGCAUCUUAGGUUUUAUCCCGUUCUUUUAGUGUGCAUAGAAAAUGUUUUGAUAUGGAGUGCAUGUUUGUGUGGUGUCUAUAAAGCAAUCAUAUAAAGUUUGAGUAUUAUCUUGUACUCUGGACUCAGUUGGUGAUUAGCAUUUAAUUUGGUUCCUGCUGCUAAUUAUUUUUCUUGCUGAUGGUAUUUAUUCAGCUUUAAAAUGAUCAUACUAAUCUUAAAAGGCACUAAUUUGUAAAGAUUGGGCAUGUGUAGGAAUACAAGAGGUCCAGGGAAAGUGAAAUCAUUUUCUUAAGCAGGUUAUUGGAAGCAAAGCUUUCUAGGGUCUAGAGGUACUGGAGAGAGAGAAAGCAUGAGUGUGAGAGAGAGUAUGUGUGUGUGGGUGGGUGGGGUAUUUUCUCUUUGUUCACUUAUAAGAGCUGAUGUGUUUUCAUGUUUAUUGUUUUCUUUUAAGAUAUUUUGUUUUUUCUUUAAAAUUAUCUUUUUCAUCCCAGCUAGAUGUUGUCAGGAAAACUUGAGGUAAGGCCAAGACAAUAGCCAUUUUUACACUUGAUACCUUCUGUACAUCAUGUUUUUCAACUUGUUUAUAUAGCGAGUAUAGUCUUCCUUAAAUUGUAGUUGAUAUUCAUUGUUUUAGACAAAUUCUCUUGGUUCUCUCUUGUUCAGCAGUGCACACUUAACUGGUAAUAAAAGAUAGUCCUUCAUAAGCUGGCCAGUUUGGUGUGAGAAAACAAGUAUAAAUCCUUAACUUCUGCAACCAUCUUCUUAGUUAUUUCCCAUUGAAUAUAAUUAACUUAUAAACACACUAGUCAGCUUGUGAUUUUCUGUUUUUCCAAGUGGUUCAGUCUAUGCUAUGUUGACUUCAGAAGUAGCAGAGGCUUGAAUUUUGGUUUGCCUCAAUUCAAAGUAAAAACUGGCAUUUAGAAUCUUUUUUCUUUUUUUUUUUGAUCAAGAAAAUAACUUCUGUGAUAUUGAUCAUUUUCAGGACCUUCAUUCAUUCUUAUAUAUAUAUUGCUAUCUUAAAGAACCUUGAGCCAAAUCUGCUGUCAUUGAAGAUAUUAUUCAAAUUUAAGGAUUGUAGUAUAUGGUAAUAGACUUUUAAACGUUUUUUAAAAAUCCAUUUGGAAUAGGAGUUCCCGUCAUGGCUCAGUGGUUAGUGCAUCCGACUAGGAACCAUGAGGUUGCGGGUUCGAUCCCUGGCCUUGCUCAGUGGGUUAAGGAUCCGGCAUUGCCAUGAAGUGUGGUGUAGGUUGCAGAUGUGGCUUGGAUCCCGCUUUGCUGUGGCUGUGGCAUAGGCCGGUGGCUACAGCUCCGAUUUGACCCCUAGCCUGGGAACCUCCAUAUGCCGUGGGAGCAGCCCAAGAAAUGGCAAAAAAAAAAAAAAGACAAAAUAUCCAUUUGGAGUAGUAUGAUUUGGUUUAAAUCUUUAGUAGUUAUAAUGAAUUCAUUUGGAGGGAUACAUUGAAUAACAUUUCAAUGAGACAUUUAUUUUCCUUGUGAGGUAGCAUCUAGUUUUAACUGGGUGGGUUAUGAAGUAGAGCCAUUUCCACAAAGUAGUUAUGUUCCUUACGUGUUUUAAAUAUUUAAAAAUUUUUUUCACUACCUAUAUACGUAGUAUUUUCUCAUGUUUAUUUACUAAUGUAGUAGUCAUUUAAAAUUGUUUAUUUUCAAAUUUCAGGACGUAGUGCUCUUAAAAGGGCUAAAUUAUAUUUCUGGAAGCUGGAGUCAACUAUAUAUGUAAUAAAAUAAUCUUUUAAAAUAAAAUUGACUUCCUUACU